ensembl:processed_transcript
CUUUCCGGUGAGGGAACCUCUCUCCAGACAUGAUCAAGAGAAACUGGCGAGGGACUGACAUGAUCUAGCUUACCUUGGGUCACCGAACGGAUUUGAACUCAUGUGAGAAUAUAUCUCUGUUGUAUUCAAAAGGCAUGUGACAUAAUUAUCCCAGCGAUCACUAAAACUGUAAAUUUGGAUGCAAUUAAGAGAGAAAACUCCACACAUUUAUGGAAAUUUAAGUGAUGGAAUGUAAUCCAGAAUGUACUUUUUUAUUUCUGAAAUCUCUGUAAAACAGUACAAUGGAAAAAUGAAAACGAAAGACAUAAUUGAGGAAAUCCAACAUCCCACAAAAAGGAAUUCUAGAAAGAGGAGGCUUCGUGUAUACCAGCUGGCCUUGAGUUCACCCUGUAGCUCACUUCCUGAUCUCCAGACUUUCCCUCCAAGUGCUGAUAUUCGAGUCCAGUGGCACUAAACGUGUGGAGUAGUUUUAAUCAAAAUGUGUUCUUUGUGCUUAUUAUCUUACAGUUUUUCUAUAAUAUUCUAAUAGUAUAAAAAAGAUCUCAAGAUUUGCCACAUCUUAGGCUAUCUUUGUUCUAUUAAAUUGUAACAAUGAAAAAAAAUGUCCGUUUUGAGACACAGAUAUGCUUCUGUGAGAGGCUUGCUAAGGCUAGGAACACAGUGGAAGCUAAAACUGUAUUGAAGAACUACCCAGAGAAGAAACACUUGAUGCAAUUUUUGACUCCUAAGCACAACACCAACUAUUGUGGGUGUCACAUAAUUUCUUACUCUUAUGCACUGUAUGAAGUUAAAAGCCAGUUUAAAAUUAUCACUAGUAAAUCUGUAAAAAAUAUUUUAUUAAAAUUCUCAACC